rnacentral:RNase_P_RNA from 1 species
GAAGCUGACCAGACAGUCGCCGCUUCGUCGUCGUCCUUUCGGGGAGACGGGCGGAGGGGAGGAAAGUCCGGGCUCCAUAGGGCAGGGUGCCAGGUAACGCCUGGGGGGGAAACCCACGACCAGUGCAACAGAGAGCAAACCGCCGAUGGCCCACGUAAGUGGGAUCAGGUAAGGGUGAAAGGGUGCGGUAAGAGCGCACCGCGCGGCUGGUAACAGUCCGUGGCACGGUAAACUCCACCCGGAGCAAGGCCAAAUAGGGGUUCAUAAGGUACGGCCCGUACUGAACCCGGGUAGGCUGCUUGAGCCAGUGAGCGAUUGCUGGCCUAGAUGAAUGGCUGUCCACGACAGAACCCGGCUUAUCGGUCAGUUUCACCU